AGGUCGCCCGCAUUUCUUUCAACGACAAAAUCCACAGAAGAGAGUAUAUGUAAGCAGAUAGAUAUUGAGAGAGAAACAGAUUGAUCUAGAAAGAGUGUGAGAGCACCACAGAGCAAGAAGAAGGCGACGAUGGACAUCGAAGUACGGCCGGAUCUGAUCCGGCAAGUCCAGCUCCGGCUCCGAAACGACGCCGGACUCUCCUCCUACAACCCGGACGAUCCGACUCUCCCGUACCUUCCUUCGCUCCGCGAAUCGGUCGCUGGAUUCGACCCGUCGCCUCUGUACCUCCGAUGCAAGAACUGCCAAGGCCGGCUUCUCAGGGGCCUCCAGUCGGCCGUCUGCGUGUUCUGUGGCGGGCGCCAGCCCAAGGACGUCGCUCCUGACCCGAUCAGGUUCAAAUCCACCGCCGGAUAUAAAUGGUUGCUGCAGUCUUUGGAGUUGGAUGGAUCGGACAUUGUAGGACCUUCCAUUGAAGAAAAUGAACUAAACAGGGGGCAGCAUACAUCAAAAGAUGAAAUUUCAUUAUCUAAUCUCUUAAAUCUAGAAAUAAAAUGGCCAACUGAGACAGAAGAAUCAGAGCAUAGUCUUGGAAGCAAUUUAUCCACACACAGCAAAAGUUCUUUGAACUUGGCUGGAACUGAUUUGGACAACUUUUUUCCCAGUUUAAAGAGGGACAUGGUUUCUAAUUCAUCAGAAGGGCAACAUGCAAUUGACAGGCUGAGUAAUAAUGUGGAGAUAAAAGCAUUUCCCAGGCAGGAAAAUCUUAGCUCAUUUCAGAACGUUCAGCAUUCUGUAACAGCAUCCAGCUCUUCUGAAGUAAAAGACAAUGAUGGUUUUUCUGGUUGGAAGGCAGAUUUUCAGUAUACUGAUUCUGGAAAUCAGCAUGAAGCUUCAGGAUCAUUUGAUGCUUUUAUAGGUUCUACGGUUGACCUGUAUGCACACAUGGAUUCAGUUUUUGGACCUGGAAAAAACUUGGAAGAUGAAAGACUGAAGGAUACUUCAACACUUUUGGCUUCAGCUACUAAUGACUGGAGUGAAGAUGACCUUUGGAAUAACUCAAACUUCUCGGCAUCUAACCUGACUGGACAUGUUGAGGCAACCAUCAAGAGUAAGGAUGGGAUAGCAGCAGAUAAAUUAGACACUCCUUCUUCAAGUGUUGAUUGGUUUCCGGAUGAUCAAUGGCAAACCAACAGCAUGACUCCUCUUGACAACAAGACAAGCAAAGAAGAUGAUUCGUUUGAUGUGUGGAAUGAUUUUGCAAGUUCUACUAGGACACAAGGUGCUUCAACAAAUUCGUUGACACAAAGUACUUAUCAGAAUGCUGCUGUUGACGAACAAACAUCAAGUACAAUUAUUCCGGGCUCAACCAACAACUUUCAGGAAAUGGAUUUUGGUAGUUUUUCACAAUCAGAUUUCUUUUCUGGAUUAUCUAACAAUCAGCAUGAUUCUGUAGAAGUGAACAGCAUGCAAUCAGAAGUCCAUGUCUCACGGAGGAUCGAGUCUCGGGGAAGAUGAUUGGCAAUGCUAAAGUAAUGGAUGGCCUUUAUUGUCUUGCAGUAGAUCCUUUUUUCCCUUCUAGUUUUUCCUCUAAUAAAGUUGUUCUAAGUGUAAAAACCAAUGCCAAUGUCCUGUUAUGGCAUAAACGCUUAGGACAUCCUAGCUUUCCUUACCUUAGAUCUUUAUAUCCUGAUAUGUUUGAUAAUAAAGAGCAGUUUCUUUCAUGUGAACAGUUUACUCUUGCUAAGCAACAUAGAUCUCAUCAUCCUACUCAAAUGUAUAAGCCUUCUACUCCAUUCCAAUUAAUUCAUAGUGAUAUUUGGGGACCCUCUAAAUGCCCUAAUGUCAUUGGUUCUAGAUGGUUUAUUACAUUUAUCAAUGAUCAUUCUAGGACUUGUUGGGUGUACUUGAUGAAGGAAAAAUCUCUGGUAAUAUAUUCAAACGAUUCCACAAAUUAAUUUUGAAUAUGUUCCAAAUUUCCAUCAAAAUAAUUCGCACUGAUAAUGGCCGAAAAUAUUUUUCAAAUGAUCUCUCUCAUUACUUAGCCGAGCAUGGUAUUUUUCACCAAAGCUCUUGUCCAUAUACACCCCAACAAAAUGGAGUGGCUGAACGAAAAAAUCGACACCUUCUAGAAGUAGCUAGAGCUAUGAUGAUCACUAUGAAUGUGCCUCAUUCUUAUUGGGGAGAAGCAGUUCUCACUGCAGCCUACCUAAUUAACCGUCUCCCAUCCAAAACCUUGCAAUUCCAAACUCCUCUCAGCAUUCUCUGUACUAUGUAUUCAACCAUCUCUACCAUCUUGUCUAUUGCUCCUAAGGUUUUUGGUUGCAUUGUCUAUGUUUACAACAAUGCCCCUUCUCGAACCAAGUUGGAUCCUAAAGCCACCAAGUGCAUUUUUGUUGGAUAUUCCCCCUCUCAAAAGGGUUACAAAUGCUAUUGUCCUACCAGUCACAAAUUUGUGGUUUCCACUGAUGUGACAUUCUAUGAAGAUCUUCCCUAUUAUUCCCUCAUAGGCCACCAAAACAAUUCCAAUGAGUCCAUUUCUCCCUUAUUUUCCUUUGAUCCAAAUCUACCAGUAUGUUCUCAAGGGGGAGAAUUCUUAGUCCCUCAUGACAACAUACUGUUUGGUGCUGGAAAUUCUGAAAAUUCUGAACCUGACACCAAAGAUCUUGCAAAUUCUGAGUCCUCUCAUCAUUCUGAGCAGGAAAAACCUAGUCCUCUAGCAGCCAAAAAUCCUCCUCUAUUUGUCUACUCAAGAAAAUCUAAAGGUCAUACAGAACUGAAGCAAAACCAGCCAUAUCCAGAGACCAAUCCUUCAGCAAAAAAGGGUAGCAAUGAGGGAAUAGCUGCACCAGAAAAUGACAGCAGAAUUAAAGAAGAAGAUGGCUUAGAUUGGUCUGUUCCAAUAGCAUUGAGGAAAGGGGAUGGAUGAUGCAAAAGUUGACCUGGAAGGGGCUUACGGAGAAGCUGAUAAAGGAGAUAUUUUCAACUCAGCCAAACAGCCAGAGGCUGAUGUAGAGAGUUUGUUGUCACAGAUGCAUGAUCUUUCUUUCAUGUUGAAGACCGAUCUG